CGACGCUAUUUGCUCCCCGUCCCCGCUGACCCCGCGCCCCGUCCCGCUGCACUCAGGGGCGGGAUCCGCGCUCUGCCCCGGGCUGCGGCCGGCGGCGGCGGCGGCGGCGGCGGCGGGGGCGGUGACGUCACAGAGCCGCUCGCCAGCACAACGUUCCAUUGAGGCGAGCGCGUGCUCCGGCGAGCACAUGGGCAGAGCGGCCCGCACCGCUCCGCUCCGCGCCGCUCCGCUCGGCCCCGCCGCCGCCGGACCCCCGGCCGGGGAUUGGGAGGGGGGGGGCGCGGUCCCAGCCAUGUGCCUUCAACCACUCUGGAGAAAUGUUGGGAGGAGCUCUCAGUGCGAUCCUUUCCAUACCUUCCAAGGAUUUUUAGGAUCGUGGGAUUUAUGGACCUGCAAAAUCCUCUGGAGAACAUCAGCCACCGACAAAACCAUCUGGAAAUUCCUGCUGUCUUUUUGCCCUGUCUUUCCUGAGUCACCGAGUCUUGGGAAGGAAGCAUCUCUGCUCUGAGGAUUACAGCAAAUCAGUUGCUUGCCGUCCUUACUGGAAUACCUUCCCUUUCAGUUGCUCAGAACAUAGCAAUUACUGAAGAAGGCAGAAGGAUAUUUUUUCCCUUUCACCGAGCUUUUGCAGCGCAGCAGUGGCUGUGUCCGGCUAUGUAGAUGGUUUCCACAUUCUCUACCCAAUUUCUUUUCCUGAUGUUUAGGAACUGAAUCAUUCUGUUUCCCUACUAGCCUCUGCUAAAGGUCUCGCUUGACUGCAAAAAGGAGAAAGGAGGAGUGUGUGCAGGGAGUUCAGGUCCUGCUGUGGCUUCUUGGGAGGUGAGUACUCAAACUUGCUUUAUACAGAAGACAGCAGAAAGCCACAAAAUUGGAGCCUCAGUAAUUUCUUUACACCCACCAUUUGCCAGUGUUCUGGAUUGGAAACCAACUGCAACAGCUACUGAGAGUCUCAUUCCUCCUCCACGUGAACCUCCUUCCAGGGAACUGUGAAAAUUCCCACUUCCAUCUCCUUCGCAUACUGGGGUUUCAUGACCAUUAAAACCCGUUCCUGGAACCAUGGGAUGGCCCCACAGCAUGCUUUUGAUCCAGCUCAGAUGUGGGCUUCUCCGUGGGAUGAGUGCCCAGCAAGUCCAGCCAUCAAAACCUACCUAGACCCUAUGGAGCUGCAUGCUCUGACUCAUCCCUACUGAAAUGUCCCCACACCCUGCCCCAGGGCUGUGCAUUCCUGGGCACUGGUUGCCUGUGCCUCAUGAGGUCUUUCUACCAAACUCAUCACUUUGGCUUGGUUCUGCAUCACCACACUGAAACUGUGCAAACUGCAAGCCACCAAACUGUACCUGUGAGCCACCUCACGGGGCACAUGUCCCACAGUGGCUUGGCUGCUGGACCACUCAGGGUGGGAUGCGCAACACACUGCAAGGAAUUUAGUUCAGCACUGGUGCUGGUAGAGCACGGAGCUGGGAGAGCAGCAUCCCUAAUUCAGGUUGAUGCGUAGCUGUGUUGGAGCCCUUUCUGUAAACCACUUCAAAGGGCGUUUUGCUGUUUUGUCUCUUCAUUCACUGUUCUUUCCCACUUGUGCAUUUUGUGCAAUUUUAAAAACUUCUUGCAUGUAUUCCAUUCCUCUUAUCCUAGACCAAGUGGCUAUCUUCUCUUCUUUCUUAGCUGGCUUGUUCAUGCAGAGGCAAGGAGUAGCAAAACAUGUUUUUCCUUCUGAAAAGAGAGAAAAUAAAUGUUUGAUACCUGAUAAUAGUUUUUGUUGUUUGUCUGAGGCAGCUUGAAAUCCUUAGGGAAAAUCAGAAUUGUUCCAUUAGGAUGAGCUGCUUGCAAGCAUCCUGCCAAACUGGAACAGCCCUUCAAGCUGUACUGAAAUGAAUUCAAACCCUCCACAGAUAAGCACAACAUAGGGUAUAAUUUUACUUCAACAGAAGGAAAAAGUCCAGUACAUCAUCUCCUUUUAUUUCAGUGUCUGGUUGUCUUGACACCCAUGUACAUAUAGAAAUAUGCUUUCUUCACAUGUAUUUACUGAGGCACUCAAGCUAAAUGCAAUUGAGCCUGGUGGUUGCUGGGAUGGUUCAUCGUGCACGUCCAGGUGCCAUCUGUACACAGGGAAGCUGGCAAUGCAGUAAAUGGCUGUUUUCCCUUCUUUAAGAGAUGCAUGUUGGGGUUGACUUUUGAUGAUCACUUAGGAUCUUAAGCUUUUGUGCUUUUGCAUUUACCUUUGUGUUGGCUAAAUUUCAGUUCACUUACUUCCCUGUGAACAAUUCUUUUUUUGUUGAAUAAACUAUUCCUUGCAAACCAUAACACUGAUGUCAUUGUUGUUGUGGGGGUUUUGUUUGGGUUGGGUUGGGUUUUAAGCAGCUGUUGCCACCCAAUGGUGGAUUUCCCUUCAUUAUAUAUCUUCCAAAUACACCCUUUAACUGGUUUUCCACCAUUCUCACCUUGUGGAUUCCUAAAUAUUUUUAUUUAGUUUUGUGGAAAUGUGAGUUCCUCUCGAGGAAAUGGAAGCCUCCUGACAAUAAGCUUGCCUUUCUUAGUUGUUUUCCAUGAACUUGUAUGGUAUGCUAUACAGAUCUCUGUCAAGUUUCCAAAGCAAUUAGCUUGAAAGCCACCAUUCAGAUGGGGCAGUGUUGUAUACUUAAAUCUGUUCUUUCUAGUAGUUAUUGGUUAUGCCUGCUAGGAAAUUUCUGGAUCCUACUGGGUCCACAGUGGGUUUUUAACCCUCCCAUUCUCAUGGAACUGUUGUGGAAGGCAGAAUCAAAGUCUGCUUGGCAUUUGCCCAGAGCACGCACCUCAAACAUACAAGCUUGGGCAGAGUAUUGUGUUCAUGUGGCUCCAUGGCUUUUGUCUUAAGCUGAAUUGAGUCCAGUUGACCUUAGCACAAGUGGAGCAAGCCAAGGUCUGCCCAAACAUGUCUAGGUAGACGUGUCCCACUAGAGUUCCGUGAAAUUCCUGCUCCAUCUGCUUGUCUCAGUCCUAGAUCUUGCCUUUGGCUGCCCCUAGCACUGGACAUAUAGAACAUGCAUAGCUAUAAUCAAAGUGAUGCUGAAAAUGCCUGCAAUUUAAAAGUACUGUGUUAAUAAAACAGAAGGAGUUGUUGAUAUUCAACUAAGCAGAAUCCUGUUGCUUCUCAGAGAAAAGUGUUUUCAUCUUUGGAGCAACUCUGGCCAAAAGCUCUGGUAGUGACUUAAAGGGCAGGUGAUUACAACAUGAAAAACACAGUCUAGCCCAAGAAACACUUUUGUGUGUGUAUUUGCAAAAUUUUUUGUUUUGAGCCAUGAAAAAUGCUUCUGUCUGAGGCUCUAGUUGGGGCCUGGGGGAAAGCAAAGCAACUCCCCCUGCAUGGGGCAGGUUGGCAGUGAUGGGGCUGAGUCCCAGCAAGGAGCACUGAAAGCGGUAAGAAAGCUCUCACUUUAUUUCUAAGGUCUAGUGCGUUGUCUGUGGCUUGUGCCUGGCUUCUCUUGUUUCUGUGCGGACUCAAACCAAGUUCAAAUAAUGAUGAAAAACAAAAACAAAAAAGUGAUGCAACGCACGUCUCAUAUGACUAUUGGAUUUUCACUAGGCAUUGAGCUGGUGGCACCUGCAGUGAUGUGGGGCAGGAUCAUCCCCCUUAGCAUUGCAGAUGGACUGGCCAUGGAAGUCCUUUCUGAACGGACAUAGCCAAGGGAAAGUUAUAUCCACAAGGAAUGUGGGUUUUUUUGUUUUUUUUUUUUUGUUUUUUUUUUUUGUUGUUGUUGUUGUUUUUGGGGUUUUUUUUUGAAGAUGCCUGUACAUCUGCUGAGUAGCAUACAUAGAGCCUUGCAAAGCUACUUUGCUGAAUUGCCAAUGUCAGAGCUGCCUGAUGUGUGUUCCUGGCCAUAGGAUGCCUUCUGUGCUACCAAGAGUGAUGUAGAGAUGCUCAUAGUAACAGGUAGGAAUCUUCUGUGAUUUAACUGAGAACAAGCGAGACAUUUUAUAUGCCCAGAUGCAACAACAGUGCACCUGACUGAAGUAUAGACAGACUCUUACUGCACUGUGAAAUGCCAGCAGGUAGCUUGUGGUCUCCUGGCAACAUUUUGUGAGUGGGCUUUUGGGCCAUUUUCUGUGCUGUAAAUGUAGGAUUCAUACAUAGUACGAAGGGAUAUCAGACCUUGAUGGGUGUUAAACAUGCUAUUCACGCCACUGUGACAAGAGGAGCAUUAACUGUGCUCCAACAUUCACCUUGUACAAAUGGUGAAUCAAAGACCGUCCAUCCCCCAAGGAGGUCAUGGUCUGGAACACUGACAGAAGGAUGUGGUUGGAUACAUGCAGAUGGGGGAGUAAAAUGAAAAUGCCAGGAUGCUAUUGAUCAUCUUGUCAGAUGCAUCUCAGGACACCAGGACACUUACUGUGAGGUUUCUUGUAAAUGUCAUGGCAAAAAAGAGUUUUGAUGAAGUCAGUGAGAUUGUUUGGCAGAUAUCAGGGGAAUUCCUACCAGGCAAGAAAGGGAGCAGGAAAGGAGAAAGUAUUUCCUGUCAACAUGUUUUAUAUUGAUUAGCCCAGGAGACCUGCUUGCAAAGAAGUAGAUUUUGUAAGAGUGAGCAGCAGGUAACAGUGUAGGGUCUGAGUUAGGCCUUGAGAGUUAGGGAGCUCUUGUGUGAUGAGGUAGGGAAAGAGGGGAUCUUUGAAAAGGUGAAGUGGGAUAGAGAAAAUAGAUGUUACAUUUCUGAAGGAAGGAUUGUUGGGUUGACUGGGAUAUGGGAAAAUAAAAGCUUGGAUGGCAGCAGUGGAUUUGGAUGCUGGAUGAAAGGGCAUCCAAAAGAUGUCCCAAGACAUUAUUUUGAACUGAAGUAGAGAGGGAUGUUUGUGGGUCAUGUGUGAGGAGAAGAUCUGGGUGUGUGUUUUGAUGGAGGUGAAGGGAAGGUAGGAAAGAAUGGGACCAUGGUCAAAACCCACAGAAGGGAGACCUGAAGUUGGGCUGGGGAAUUAUGAAGAGAUAGGAAAGGAGCAAGGCAGGAUUCUUGGGAAUUCUGACCUUUGGUUAAAAACCCGCUGCAUUUUUCAGCAAAACCAUGAACAAACAAGUACUGUUAGUGCAUCCAGACCCAGACUGGAUCCUCUGUAGCUCAACCUAUAAAGAUAGUGAAAAGGUUUGAGUGUAACAUGAUCAGCAUCGGCUUAGUGGUGUGUGUGUGUGUGUCAUGGACCUGUGCUGCACAGCGAGGUGCCUCUGCAUGCUCCCAUUCCAUCGCUGCACACUUGUGAUGGGAUCCUAUUCCCAUAAAAUAGUCAUGUGCUGACGUCUCCUCCUGGUUACACGAGCUGGCUCUGGAAAACCUCAGCUCCUAGAUUACAAACAUAGCAGGGCUCUGUCUGCAAAGGUGUAAGGUUACAAAACACACACACACUCACGCAGCUUAACCGAAACCGCCUCAUUUUUAGCAGUUGUGAGGGUUUAUUCACUGCAGGGCUGUGGAGGAAUGCAGGAAUGUGAGUGGCGUUAAACCUAUUCAUUUGGAGGGGGAGUCCUCUCCUCUCCCCUGCUCCAGCCUGCUUAGCUUUAAUGGUAAUUGCACCUCUUGGCUGGCUGAGCUGGCCGUCUGCCCUCCCGGUGCAGCUGGGGAGAAGAACUGGAGCCAGGAGGAGCAAAGUAGCUGUCAGUGUGGGGUGGCUGUGUCAGUGUGGGGCUGUCCCUUGUCCUGUGAGCCCACAGCCUCCCUGCUUUAACCUAGUGCUUGGAUGGUGAGAAGGAGGCAUGCUUUUUAGCUGUGGAGUUUGGGCAGGGAGGAGUAGAGUCAUAGCCUAGCUCCUAUGUAUCGUGCUGGGGAAUGCAUUUCCCUUUCAUUUUUCUAUAUUUUGUACUUAAUGUUAAUCGUUCCCAGACGCACCUAACAGUACCUUGGCAUUUAAAAAUCAAAUACUGAUCCUAAAAGCCUUGCCACUUCAGAAAAGAAAGGAAGACAAACAAACAAACAGAAAAAACAAGAGUUUUUUGUUGGCUUGUUAAGAAUGUGAGAGAUGCAGUAAAAUCGGCUUUUUGGUUUAUACGUGCUGCCCAUUCCCAGGGGAGGAAUGCGGACCUCUGCAUGGCCAACUGCCACCGUCACCACUUCCAGCCUUGCUGCUGAGGUUUCAUGUGAAGCCAAAGGGCCUGGGAAGUUUGGGAAACCAGUGACACCGGAUCCGUACCACAAAGGUGAAUGCUGCAUGCUCGCUGCGUGUGUGUGCAGAGACACGGUGGCUCCGGCUUUUGCCUCCAGGAGAGAGCUGCCCACGGACAGUCAUGCUGACAGUGUAACAGAAGCAGCUGCGUGUGAGCCCCAGAGAUGUGUGGAGGUUUUUAUUUAAGGCCUGUCCUUAAAGGAUGCUGCCUUGAAGGGUCUUUAGUGAGGAUGGAUGCAGCCUAACCCAGUCAGUCUGUCCUGCCACUAGCUGGGAAUACCAGCACUUCCAGUGAUGCAUGCUGCUGGGAGACUGUUGUGCCUGAAGGGUUAAAUUAGUGGUGCUUUCAAAGCUGGGAUGCAUUCAGAGUAUUGCAAUUGCACUUACUGAUACCGGGAAAUCUUAGUUCAACCCUCUUUCCCAGCAGGUCUGCGUGAUGGUGAAGUGGUUGUUGCGUACCUGCACUGGGAUGGAGCUGAGGUGCUCAGGCGUAGUGCUUCUGCACUCAGUGUCGGGACAUUAUUGCCUUGUUCCUGUGCUUCAUCCAGAUAGAACUGAAGCAGAAGUAGCCCUCCAUGCUCCAUUGUCAGACACAUUCAUUUUUGGUCAUGGGCAUCACUGAUGGAUAGCUCCUGUCCUGUCCUGUGGUAAUGUUGGCAGACUUCUCAGGAGGUGUGAACUUUGGACACAUCAUCCUUAGCUGUUAAAGUAGUAAUCCUUUAGUUGUUCAUUUGCAAGAUAGUUUAGGAGGUUAAGAGAAGGACAACUGAAUUAAUGUGAGGAAUAUGAGGGGAUGGGGUGGGCAGCCUGGGGUCAAUAGAGCAAGUGGAUUAAUUAAAGAAGAGUAAACAGGAGCCUCAUGUGUCUGUGGCAAAAUGAGAAACACUGUUCUCUCCACUUGACACAUUUAGUGCCCUGGAUUGCAAAGCAGCAGUUCUUCACAGCAUGUAGGAGAAUAGAAAUACAUCGCUUCAUCUCACAACUUUGAACUAAAAUAAAGAUUUAGGCACCCUGGCUCCAGAGCUGGCUCUCAAUGGCAUUGAACCUUCCUGGGAACGGGUGUGACUCUGCAUGCCUGCCCGCCCUGUGGGUCGGCUCUCGUCUGGCAGGGCGGGUGCGGAGCAGAGGCUGGUUCACCACCCAGCAGACAGGCUGCAAACCCAGGGCAGAGCUGAGUUUCUUCCCUAGGGCUUGUUCUCACCAGAUCUCGCCCUGGCUGGCGGCCCCAGGUUGUGCCCAGUGGUGAGGAACCCGUUAUGGCUGCGAACUGUUGGGGCAUGAUGGAUGGUGAAAGCCUUCCUCCUGUGCGGGGUGACUCAGCCCAGCUGCUGGGCGAGAGCCUGGCUGGAACCUUCCUGCAGUUCAGGGCUGGGAUUUUAGUCUCCUCCCUGCUCUUCUCACUAAUAGUCUCAUUUUAAAUGGUGCCUGGGUGGAAGCAGAGGCUGGGGUUAUUUAUUUACAUGCAUUCCCGUGGCCUCUGCACAGAGCUUCAAGAGCUGCUGGAGAGAAGUAAUGGGGCUCAGGGCUGGCAGCUGAACCAAGGCUCGGUGGGUCUGGUCCCAGCUGUGGGAGCUUCAGGCAGUUCUCGAAGGCAGGAGGGCUGGGGCUGUGGGGCAGGAGCCUGUGCUCACCCCUUUCUUAUCCUCAUGGAUAUCAAAAGGACAUAAAUAUAAGUAGAUACAUAUCCAUAACUGUAUGCAGGGAGAGGGAGAGUUAUAUGUAUAGCUUGGUGAGCAGCAAAUGGAUGUAUGUGUGCAUGGAGGGGAAGCAGAGUAUGUAUUCAGUGACUCCUGUUCUCAGUUACGAACAAAUUGCUCCCAAAAUUUGUGUCUCUGAAACCACUUUUAGGGACCAUUGCUAUCUCACACACACUCAGGUUGUGGAGUCUUCCUCCUUAGAGAUCUUUGAAAUCCACCUGGACAUGCUCUUGGUCACCCUGCUCUGGCUGUCGUUCCUUGGAGCAAAUGGGCCCAGAGGUCCCUGCCAACCUCAGCCACUGUGUUAUUCAUCCAAUACUUCUUGGUCAGGAAAAGGGAUGAAGUUGUCCAGCUUGAUGAUGCUGUAGCUCAUGCACCUCUUGUCUCCAGUGCACACGGAACUUUGGCCAAGUGUUUAACUCUUUCUAAGAUCUGGUCAGAAAUAACUGCUUUUAAGUUUGCAACUCGUAUUUACGGUUGGUUUCUUGGGUUCUGUGGGAUUGUACAGAAAGCCAUCACUUAGUAGUGGAGGCAAAUUCAGCAGUUUUUGAAUUAAAAAAAAAAAAAAAAAAUCUUUGCCUGAGUUGUUCAUCUGCAGGAGUUCCCUGGUGCAGGUUUUGCAUCACAAACUGGCAUGUGUUUACAGGGCUGAAAAGGAGAAAUGGAUGGAAACAAUGUCAUGGGUUGUUCACCUCCUCGAGCUUUCUGCCUACCUGCUCUGUUUUUUUGGUGAAGGGAAGUCUCUGCACCCAACUAACCUGCACAUGCACCGUGUUCCUUGGGAGAGUUUUCAAUGAUAUUUUCACAUCCUUGAGUUUUUUUCGUUAUUUGGGUCCCAUCAUUAUACCCUUCAACAACAUCAAUCCAGAGCAAGACCAGAACAUGAAAGUGUGAGGUUGAGAAGAGCUGAGCUAAGUGCCAAUGUCAUAACAGGAUGCCCCUGCUGGCCUUUCUUGUCCUUCUUAGAAUCACAGAAUCACCUAGGUUGGAAAAGACCUUCAGGAUCACUGAGUCUAGCCAUCAACCUGACCUAUCGAGUCCCAUCACUAAACUGUGUCCCUUACUGCCACAUUCACAUGUCUCUUAAAUACCUUCAGGGAUAUGGACUCCCAUCAUCUCCCUGGGCACCCCGUUCCAAUGCUUGACCAAAGCUUGAUCAUUGACUCUUCUUGUCCCACAUCAGCCAAGGUCUCACUCCCAGCAGCUGUAUUUCUGUGCAGCUUUCACUGGCUGUGCUCACUGAAGGUUACCACACAUAAUGCCAUGAAGGAGCUGGGCAUCAGGCCUUCUGUUGAUGCUCAACCAUAGUUCCUUCCCAGCACCACUGCUGUUCCCAGGCUCAGUGUAUGGUGACACCAAACCCCUUCUCUUCUUAUAUACAGGGCCUUUAGGAGCACAGCACGGAGUCCCAGCAUUGGUGAAGUGGCUUUGAUUCUGCCAUGCAAUGUGGUGUGCAUGUGGACAGACGUUAUGAGUGCUCAUUUCCUUCCAGAGUUUCCCUCUAGGGUUGCAGAAGUUGAGAGUAAAUGUAAAUCUCACUAUUGCAGAGGGUUGUUUUCCUAGUAGUGAAUAUAUUUUAACACUACUGAAUGCAGUGGGAUCUUGUGUCCGUAUUGUGUUCACAGCUCAUACCUGAGGUUCAAGACAGGAUGGUAACAGGCCCCAAAAAUAUGUUUCCCUGUAAGCCCUGCAGACAAAUCACUCUAAUGGGAGGCGACUCGCCGCAAACUUGUGGCCAGAGAAAGACGGAUGGUUCUGAGCAGGGAUUUUGUGACCUGAAACUUAAGCCUGUGCCUGGGUCACUGCCCUUCUUUCAAGUUGUUUUCACUGGGCUAGAAGCUUUCUUGUUACGCAUGGGGUUGCAUCCAGGGAGGAUCUGAAAGGUCG
ensembl:lncRNA